rnacentral:rRNA from 1 species
UUGAACGCUGGCGGCAUGCUUUACGCAUGCAAGUCGAACGGCAGCGCGGGGCAACCUGGCGGCGAGUGGCGAACGGGUGAGUAAUAUAUCGGAACGUACCCAAGAGUGGGGGAUAACGUAGCGAAAGUUACGCUAAUACCGCAUACGAUCUAUGGAUGAAAGUGGGGGAUCGCAAGACCUCAUGCUCCCUGGAGCGGCCGAUAUCUGAUUAGCUAGUUGGUGAGGUAAAGGCUCACCAAGGCGACGAUCAGUAGCUG